GCCUGAGUGGCUUAGUUGGUUAAGAGUCUGACUUCGACUCAGGUCAUGGUCUCACAGUUUAUGGGUUCAAGCCCUGCAUCAGGCU
rfam:Felis catus isolate Cinnamon breed Abyssinian chromosome A2, whole genome shotgun sequence.